rnacentral:lncRNA from 1 species
CCUUUUUGGUUAUUUUUAAAGCAAGAAAUUGAAUAAUCGGACGAAGAUUCGGACAAAUAUGUGAGCGAGGGAAAUGGCGAAUACGAACGAACGAAAUAUUGUUCAUGAGAAUGGUAAAUCACCGGCUACCAAGAAGAAUGUUCAAGUCUAACAUGACAGAGAGAUAAUCACUACAAGGAUGAACUGGAGAGUGGUCUAACUGGAGUGGUAAUCUUCGAAGUAUGGAAGUGUGAAAUUAGAAAGGCAGAAUGUCUUGAAGCAGGCUAAGGUUAGGUGUUUGAAAGGUAAUGCAAUCCUAGAAAUUAUUACUAAAUGGAGAAAAAAUUUUAAGGUAUACAUGAGAUAUCUGGAGUUAGGAAAAGAUUUAGCUAUAUCUCUUAUGUAGUAUAGUCAGACGAAUGCCCAACAUGACUAUUUGAGUUGUGUAUAUAAUAAUAAAACGCAAGCCACAAGACACCCGCGACUCCUACGCGUUCCAGCUUUAAGAGGUAUAAAUGCUGAAGUCGGUAUAAAUGGCAUCCACCUGGACGUUCUUAUCAAGACUUGUAAAAAGAAAAUUAGUAUCCUCUAAUCGAUUGGUCUCAACAAAAACGUCCAGGGUUCAUCAAGGGAAAAGAGAUAGUAGAGAAGCGUAAAGAACGAACAGAGUUUCUUUUGGAGGGAACAACUUUUGGGAAGGAUGUGGGAAAAAGAAUGGUUAUGUUUAAGGACUUGGUAAGGAGCGCAAUUAACAAGGAAUGCUGGAGAUGUGCUAACAAGGUGUUGGAAAGGGCAACUCCAGGGUAUAUGGUAAGUCAAGAGGUUAAGGUGGAUUUAAUAAGGGUGGAAGCUGGGAAAAAAAGCAGUGAAAUACGAGGAAGUAUAGAAGGAAGACCGCAUUGCAGGAUCCUGAGAGAGUGCUAGAAGGAAAUCAAGGAGAGGAGAUUAAAUAUAUGGGCAAGGAGAUAUUAUAAGAGAGUGGGAUAUUCGAUAACUGGUAUUGGCAAUAGAAGAGUGGAAAGAGGAACUGAGGGAUAGAGACAGGGACAUACAGAUGCAGGAGAGAUGGUCACAGAUACGAGAAGGAAGAUAUAAUGUAAGAUAUGGGGAGAUAGUGACAGAGGAACUGCCAAAGUAUCUGUUGAUGGAAGGGAACAGAUUGUUUUUGCAGUUACUAGUUUUAAUUUUUCCUUAUCCCAGUUCCAAACCAAGCCUUUUUUUAUAACAUUUUCUUUAUUAAGAGAAUCCAUUUGGAUUCAAAGAUAGAAUCCAGCAAGAAUAUUGUGCCCAGCUAUAUGGAUAUCAAUGGAAACUGGGACUGCAAACGGUAUUGUGAUAUAUUUCCAUAAAUAUCACUAUUAAUUUUUAUACAAUAAAUAAUAUAAAUGUGAUUUUCAGA